rnacentral:rRNA from 1 species
AAUAGAUACCCAGGUAGUCCACGCCCUAAACGAUGUCUACUAGUUGUCGGGUCUUAAUUGACUUGGUAACGCAGCUAACGCGUGAAGUAGACCGCCUGGGGAGUACGGUCGCAAGAUUAAAACUCAAAGGAAUUGACGGGGACCCGCACAAGCGGUGGAUGAUGUGGAUUAAUUCGAUGCAACGCGAAAAACCUUACCUACCCUUGACAUGUCAGGAAUCCUCGAGAGAUCGGGGAGUGCCCGAAAGGGAGCCUGAACACAGGUGCUGCAUGGCUGUCGUCAGCUCGUGUCGUGAGAUGUUGGGUUAAGUCCCGCAACGAGCGCAACCCUUGUCAUUAGUUGCUACGAAAGGGCACUCUAAUGAGACUGCCGGUGACAAACCGGAGGAAGGUGGGGAUGACGUCAAGUCCUCAUGGCCCUUAUGGGUAGGGCUUCACACGUCAUACAAUGGUACAUACAGAGGGCCGCCAACCCGCGAGGGGGAGCUAAUCCCAGAAAGUGUAUCGUAGUCCGGAUCGCAGUCUGCAACUCGA